AUUGAACGCUGGCGGCUGGCCUAACUCUUGCAAGUCGAACGAGUGGCGGACGGGUGAGUAAUGUCUGUGAAACUGCCCGAUGGACGGGGAUAACUACUUGAAACGGUAGCUAAUACCGCAUACCAUCGGAUGUGCCCAGAUGGGAGUAGCUAGUCGGUGGGGUAACGGCGCACCUAGGCCACGCUCCCUAGCUGGUCUGAGAGGAUGACCAGCGAAACUGGAACGGAGACACGGUCCAGACGCCUACGGGAGGCAGCAGUGGGGAAGAGGGCACAAUGGGCGCAAGCCUGAUGCAGGCAUGCCGCGUGGAUGAAGAAGGCGAUGGGGUUGUAAAGUACUUGCAGCGAGGAGGCGGAACUCGCAGAAGAAGCACAGGGGAACUCCGGGCCAGCAGCCGCGGUAAUUC
rnacentral:rRNA from 1 species